ACCACACGAACCUGCGAAACCAAACAAUGGGAGAGGAAAGCAGAACAAAGAAGGCCAAAACUGCACAAGAAAACAAACUCUUGCUAACCAAGGAAAGCCUCUCCAAAACAGACAGAUCAGCCCCAAAAGCGUCCUCAGAAAAGUUAGAACAUCAGAGGGAUCAAACAACCAACAAUCACUAACCAAAUCUGAAUCCAAAAGCUCUAACAGUCACCAAC
rnacentral:lncRNA from 1 species